GGUUAAGCGACUAAGCGUACACGGUGGAUGCCUAGGCAAUCAGAGGCGAUGAAGGACGUGCUAAUCUGCGAUAAGCGUCGGUAAGGUGAUAUGAACCGUUACAACCGACGAUUUCCGAAUGGGGAAACCCAGUGCAAUUCGUUGCACUAUCGUUUGAUGAAUACAUAGUCAAACGAAGCGAACCGGGGGAACUGAAACAUCUCAGUACCCCGAGGAAAAGAAAUCAACCGAGAUUCCCCUAGUAGCGGCGAGCGAACGGGGAGCAGCCCAGAGUCUUAAUCAGCAUUAGCAUCAGGAGAACGGUCUGGAAAGUCCGGCAGUAAAGGGUGAUAGCCCCGUAUCCGAAGGUGUUAGUGUUGUGAACUCGACGAGUAGGGCGGGACACGUGUUAUCCUGUCUGAAUAUGGGGGGACCAUCCUCCAAGGCUAAAUACUCCUGAUUGACCGAUAGUGAACCAGUACCGUGAGGGAAAGGCGAAAAGAACCCCGGCGAGGGGAGUGAAAUAGAACCUGAAACCGUGUACGUACAAGCAGUGGGAGCCUUGAUUUAUCAGGGUGACUGCGUACCUUUUGUAUAAUGGGUCAGCGACUUAUAUUCUGUAGCAAGGUUAACCGUAUAGGGGAGCCGUAGGGAAACCGAGUCUUAACUGGGCGAAUGAGUUGCAGGGUAUAGACCCGAAACCCGGUGAUCUAGCCAUGGGCAGGUUGAAGGUUGGGUAACACUAACUGGAGGACCGAACCGACUAAUGUUGAAAAAUUAGCGGAUGACUUGUGGCUGGGGGUGAAAGGCCAAUCAAACCGGGAGAUAGCUGGUUCUCCCCGAAAGCUAUUUAGGUAGCGCCUCGUGAACUCAUCUUCGGGGGUAGAGCACUGUUUCGACUAGGGGGUCAUCCCGACUUACCAACUCGAUGCAAACUACGAAUACCGAAGAAUGUUAUCACGGGAGACACACGGCGGGUGCUAACGUUCGUCGUGAAGAGGGAAACAACCCAGACCGCCAGCUAAGGUCCCAAAGUCAUAGUUAAGUGGGAAACGAAGUGGGAAGGCUCAGACAGCCAGGAUGUUGGCUUAGAAGCAGCCAUCAUUUAAAGAAAGCGUAAUAGCUCACUGGUCGAGUCGGCCUGCGCGGAAGAUGUAACGGGGCUAAACUAUGCACCGAAGCUGCGGCAGCGAUAUGUAAAUAUUGUUGGGUAGGGGAGCGUUCUGUAAGCCUGUGAAGGUGUACUGUGAGGUAUGCUGGAGGUAUCAGAAGUGCGAAUGCUGACAUAAGUAACGAUAAUGCGGGUGAAAAACCCGCACGCCGGAAGACCAAGGGUUCCUGUCCAACGUUAAUCGGGGCAGGGUGAGUCGACCCCUAAGGCGAGGCAGAAAUGCGUAGUCGAUGGGAAACGGGUUAAUAUUCCCGUACUGGUGAUAAUUGCGAUGGGGGGACGGAGAAGGCUAGGCUAUCCGGGCGACGGUUGUCCCGGUUUAAGAAUGUAGGCAGGUGAAUUAGGCAAAUCCGGUUCACUACAUGCUGAGGUUCGAUGACGAGUCACUACGGUGAUGAAGUAGCUCAUGCCCCGCUUCCAGGAAAAGCCUCUAAGCUCUAGAUUAUCAUUAAUCGUACCCCAAACCGACACAGGUGGUCAGGUAGAGAAUACUCAGGCGCUUGAGAGAACUCGGGUGAAGGAACUAGGCAAAAUGGUGCCGUAACUUCGGGAGAAGGCACGCUGGCGCUAGGUGAAGUCCCUCGCGGAUGGAGCUGAAGCCAGUCGCAGAUACCAGCUGGCUGCAACUGUUUAUUAAAAACACAGCACUGUGCAAACACGAAAGUGGACGUAUACGGUGUGACGCCUGCCCGGUGCUGGAAGGUUAAUUGAUGGGGUUAUCCGUAAGGAGAAGCUCUUGAUCGAAGCCCCAGUAAACGGCGGCCGUAACUAUAACGGUCCUAAGGUAGCGAAAUUCCUUGUCGGGUAAGUUCCGACCUGCACGAAUGGCGUAAUGAUGGCCAGGCUGUCUCCACCCGAGACUCAGUGAAAUUGAACUCGCUGUGAAGAUGCAGUGUACCCGCGGCAAGACGGAAAGACCCCGUGAACCUUUACUAUAGCUUGACACUGAACAUUGAGCCUUGAUGUGUAGGAUAGGUGGGAGGCUUCGAAGCGUGGACGCCAGUCUGCGUGGAGCCAACCUUGAAAUACCACCCUUUAAUGUUUGAUGUUCUAACGUUGCCCCGUUAUCCGGGGUGCGGACAGUGUCUGGUGGGUAGUUUGACUGGGGCGGUCUCCUCCCAAAGAGUAACGGAGGAGCACGAAGGUUGGCUAAGCAUGGUCGGACAUCAUGCGGUUAGUGCAAAGGCAUAAGCCAGCUUGACUGCGAGAGUGACGGCUCGAGCAGGUACGAAAGUAGGUCUUAGUGAUCCGGUGGUUCUGAAUGGAAGGGCCAUCGCUCAACGGAUAAAAGGUACUCCGGGGAUAACAGGCUGAUACCGCCCAAGAGUUCAUAUCGACGGCGGUGUUUGGCACCUCGAUGUCGGCUCAUCACAUCCUGGGGCUGAAGUAGGUCCCAAGGGUACGGCUGUUCGCCGUUUAAAGUGGUACGCGAGCUGGGUUUAGAACGUCGUGAGACAGUUCGGUCCCUAUCUGCCGUGGGCGUUGGAAGAUUGAAAGGGGCUGCUCCUAGUACGAGAGGACCGGAGUGGACGCACCACUGGUGUUCGGGUUGUCAUGCCAAUGGCAUUGCCCGGUAGCUAAGUGCGGAAGAGAUAACCGCUGAAAGCAUCUAAGCGGGAAACUUGCCUUGAGAUGAGUCUUCCCUGACCCUUUAAGGGUCCUAAAGGAACGUUUAAGACUAAGACGUUGAUAGGUUGGGUGUGUAAGCGUAGCGAUACGUUGAGCUAACCAAUACUAAUGAACCGUGAGGCUUAACCUG
rnacentral:rRNA from 1 species